UCUAGAACUCGAGAUAUGGGCUGAACAUUGAAUAGUGUCUAGGCUACAAGAUAGAUUUUGACGUUUCCGUUGUUGCUUCCAUUUGAACUCAAAAAUUGCACUUUUAAAUCUUGGACUCUUCAUGAAAGUUUUAGGCCUAUGUCUUAGCUUUCCAUC
rnacentral:pre_miRNA from 1 species